GUCCACGCCCUAAACUAUGUCAACUGGGUGUUCGGGAAGCGAUUUCUGAGUACAGUAGCUAACGCGUGAAGUUGACCGCCUGGGGAGUACGGCCGCAAGGUUAAAACUCAAAGGAAUUGACGGGGACCCGCACAAGCGGUGGAUGAUGUGGAUUAAUUCGAUGCAACGCGAACAACCUUACCUACCCUUGACAUGUCCGAGAGCCUGCUGAGAGGCGGGUGUGCCCGAAAGGGAAUCGGAACACAGGUGCUGCAUGGCUGUCGU
rnacentral:rRNA from 1 species